AGCGAGUAAAGUGGCGGACGGGUGAGUAACGCGUAGGAAUCUACCUUUCAGUGGGGGAUAGCUCGGGGAAACUCGAAUUAAUACCGCAUACACCCUUCGGGGGAAAGGGGGCCUCUCCUUGGAAGCUCUCGCUGUUAGAUGAGCCUGCGUGAGAUUAGCUUGUUGGUAAGGUAAUGGCUUACCAAGGCUACGAUCUCUAGCUGGUCUGAGAGGACGAUCAGCCACACUGGGACUGAGACACGGCCCAGACUCCUACGGGAGGCAGCAGUAGGGAAUAUUGGACAAUGGGGGCAACCCUGAUCCAGGCAUGCCGCGUGUGUGAAGAAGGCCUUAGGGUUGUAAAGCACUUUAAGUGAGGAAGAAAAGAUUUAAAUUAAUACUUUAAGUCCCUGACAUUACUCACAGAAUAAGGACCGGCUAACUCCGUGCCAGCAGCCGCGGUAAUACGGAGGGUCCAAGCGUUAAUCGGAAUUACUGGGCGUAAAGCGCGCGUAGAUGGUUUAUUCAGUUGGGUGUGAAAUCCCUGGGCUCAACCUAGGAACUGCAUUCAAAACUUAUAAACUAGAGUACGAAAGAGGAGAGUAGAAUUCAUGGUGUAGCGGUGAAAUGCGUAGAGAUCAUGAGGAAUACCAGUGGCGAAGGCGACUCUC
rnacentral:rRNA from 1 species